rnacentral:lncRNA from 1 species
UGCACAAGUACAAUAUACACAAACAGGAUACAACCACCAUCUAUGAACAUACACAUAUUUAUCCACCAUUCACAUUCACAUUCAGAAUUUACCCAUAAAUCUACAACUAUUAGUUUUAAAUGUUUCCUACCCGGAAACUCAUUUUAAAACACUAAGUCAUGAAAACCAAGAAAAGCUUUUUUAAAAACUGUUUUCCACACGGAAACCUUUUCCUUUUAAAACUCGCUACCACGAGGGGUAGAAAGCUAUUUUCAGUUUACAAGAAUCAUGAAUCCUUUAUUACAUUCAUAAAAUCCAAAUAAUUCCAUUCAUAUAAAAUACUGAACCAUAAAUACUGUCUAAAUCAUUUAUUAAAAG